GUCAUGUCAUCUCUUGCUCAUGUUAAGCAUCAAAAUUAGUCAAUUAGAAGGCGAUAAUCCUAGUUAGAUGAGAGGGAUUUGUUGAUCAUAUUUUUAUUGUCAAAAAAUUAACGUCGUCUGUGGAAAACUUGAACAAAGAAAACCAAAAAAAUUGUCAAUUUAAGCUAAGAAAAUGUUUAAAUUUGCAGAUGAUGAUCCAAGCAGGAAAGAAAGUGCUGAAAAAGAGAGCGAAAGAGCAUAGCAAUGGUUCGGAGGACAGUGACGUGAAUCCAAAACGACGACGAGAAGAAACAUUGUCAAAAUUAUACAAUGUCAUUUCAUCCGCUCGGCGACAUUUCUAAUGGAGAAGCAUGUUCACAGUAGAGACUAUACAGGAAACAGUGAUAAACUUCAAGACACUAACAACUGAAAAUGAAUCUCAACGAACUAGCUUGAAAGUCUAAGGGCGAAUUGGCAAGAUGAAAUUGGUGAGAAUGAAAUGGAGCAUGUUGCUAGCUUCUUCCUUGGGAGCAGCAACAACUCUGGUAUUAAAAAUCUACAAUAAUAUGAAGCAACAGAAGUAGCGGAUGAAUGACCCUGUCCUUGAGAGAUUCUCCAAUGAGAAGCACGUUCGUAACGAGAAGUAUGAUAGGCGCAAUUAUCAUGAAGAUUGGAGAGCGAAAAGCCUGGUCUACCUCGUAUAACGUACAUCUGUGUAGGAAUUAUGAAGACCAACCUGCAACAGGAAAGGGUUGAGGUCAUUGGGUUGAAGCCCCCCCCUCCCAAUUGCCAGGAAAAAAAAUAAAAAAAAAAUACCAUCUUUCUAGUUGUGGACCUUGUUAGGGGUAAUUACAAGUUUUGAACGUACUCUGGAAGAACGAGGAGAAAGAUGGUAUUAUCUUGUUUGUGGGUUUGUUGCCUUCAUAGAUGAUAGAUGGAUUAGAAUAUAUUCGAUGAAAGUUUCCCCUUUAAACCUGCGAGUUUCGGAUAGGAGCAAUAUCAAAGGAGGAAAGAAUGUCGCAGAAUAAAUGGUGAAAAGGAUUUCCAAGCCCAUAUCCAUCGAAUGCUUAUGAAUAGCUAUACAAUCAUGAAGAGGACAAUUCGUAGUUUGAAACUGCCAAGGCAUAACAACUCUAUAUCACUAGGGAUAUUAGAACUAUCCCGAACAUCACCCAAAUCUUUUUCAAUAAGAUUGGUAAAAAUAACUGAGGCCACAAAAACUUCCCUAUCACUAACCUGAAGGCUAUUCGAAUUGCUCAAAAGUUUGCGCACCACGUCCCAUACCUCAACUCUAACUUGAACACUACUUCCUGACUUACAGAAUGGGGCAAUGCUCCAGUACACCUAACUUCUUCAGAAAAAGAAGAGGCACUAAAUGAAGUCACCUAACUUAUAGGUUGUCAAUAAGAUGCACAUGGACAAACAGUUGAAACUUGAUUCAUAACCGAAUUAUUUAGUAGAUAGCCAAUAAGGAGUCGCCUCCUGUUAUUAUGCAAAAAUGACAAUAUUACCCCAACACUUGGAGGAAAAUCUAUAAAUACCACCUCAUUUGAAGAAUAUGUUAUGUAAUUCAAAUACCUCCCUCCAAACAGAUAUUUCUUCUCUUGUUUUGAGUUGAAAUAUUUAGGUGAAAAUAGGAGGUGAAACUUAUAGUUAGGUGAGAAGAUUUGUUGAUUGUAUUUAUAUUUGAUUUUCGAUUGUAAUUAUUUUAUCAAUAAAAUCGUUUGAUUCGAUUUCUACUGUCAGCAAUUUUUUUCAUCUCUAUUUUAAAAGCAGC
rnacentral:lncRNA from 1 species